rnacentral:rRNA from 1 species
UGAUCCUACGGGGCGCAGCAGUCGAGAAUCAUGCACAAUGGGGGAAACCCUGAUGCAGCGACGCCGCGUGAGUGAAGAAGUAUUUCGGUAUGUAAAGCUCUAUCAGCAGGGAAGAAAAAAGACGGUACCUGACUAAGAAGCCCCGGCUAACUACGGGCCAGCAGCCGCGGUAAUACGUAGGGGGGCAAGCGUUAUCCGGACUUACUGGGUGUAAAGGGAGCGGAGACGGCGCGGCAAGUCUG